rnacentral:rRNA from 1 species
GCAAGUCGAACGAGAAAGUGGAGCAAUCCAUGAGUACAGUGGCGACCGGGUGAGUAACACGUGACCAACCUGCCCUCGAGUGGGGAAUAACUCCGGGAAACCGGAGCUAAUACCGCAUAACAUCGCAAGAUCAAAGCCGCAAGGCGCUUGAGGAGGGGGUCGCGGCUGAUUAGCUAGUUGGUAGGGUAAUGGCCUACCAAGGCAAAGAUCGGUAGCCGGCCUGAGAGGGCGCACGGCCACACUGGAACUGAAACACGGUCCAGACUCCUACGGGAGGCAGCAGUGGGGAAUUUUGCGCAAUGGGGGAAACCCUGACGCAGCAACGCCGCGUGGAGGAUGAAGUCCCUUGGGACGUAAACUCCUUUCGACCGGGACGAUACUGACGGUACCGGAAGAAGAAGCACCGGCUAACUCUGUGCCAGCAGCCGCGGUAAUACAGAGGGUGCGAGCGUUGUUCGGAAUUAUUGGGCGUAAAGGGCGCGUANGCGGCGCGGUAAGUCACCUGUGAAAUCUCCUGGCUCAACUGGGAGCUUGCAGGCGAAACUGCCCGUGCUGGAGUGUGGGAAAGGUGCGUGGAAUUCCCGGUGUAGCGGUGAAAUGCGUA